AUCUUCUUAGCUCAGUUGGAUAGAGCAACAGCCUUCUAAGCUGUCGGUCGCAGGUUCAAGUCCUGCAGAAGAUA
rnacentral:tRNA from 1 species